GGUCUUGUGGUGUAGUGGUUAUCACGUCUGCUUUACACGCAGAAGGUCGUCGGUUCGAUCCCGGCCAAGACCU
rnacentral:tRNA from 2 species